rnacentral:lncRNA from 1 species
GUACGGGAAAGGGAAGAGAAACAUCCCUCUCAGAUAAGCCUCAGCAUUCGGGGGUCUGUGUUACAGCGGCGUUGCCGCGACCUCUCUAACAUGAGAAUGAUUACAGGAGACUUCAUCCAGGGUGCUGAUGUUUGAAUUGGACAUUGAAGGAUAAAUAGGAAUUUAUCAAUGGAGGGGUGGAGUGGGUGCAAAUUCCGGAAGAGGGAACUCCAUCGUAUGCAAAAGUCUGGAGGCAAGAAAGCCCUUGGCUGAUUCUAGCCCGGCUUUUCCCCAUUAGAACCCCUGCUUGUUAAAUACAGAUCCCUGGGGCUCCCUCCAUGCUCACCCUCACACCACCACUCAGACCCUCUGAAUCAGAAUGCACGGGGAGCGCCCGGAGCCUGAAUCUUCACCCGGUGCCUGGGGUCAUUCUUGUGACCCGCAUACUUGGGAAGCGCUGGGCUGGAUGUGCGGGCUGCAGAGAGCAGCCCUGGGAGCUGGGUCGGGAAGGCUGGACUGAGGCAAAAGGACCCACGAAUCUGCUCUUUGGAACCCACGGAAGAACCCAGGGGGCAGCGAUUUCAGUCAAGACAGGACCUGAUCACGUCCACGGCAGCUCUGGGUGGGCGAGGGGCCCCACGCAGGAAGCCAGGCCAACAGGGGCUGAGAAGCAAGUGCGGCGGAGGCUUGACCCAGGAGUUCACAGGACGGAAGAGGUGGAUGAGAGAGUCAGAGCAGAGGAGGCCUGGGCACGUGACCAACGACGAAGCAAGAGUCUGGAGGGGACAGAGUUCAAAGGAGAGGGAGGGUGUCUGCUUGGUCACCAGCUAGGGAGGGUGCAGGGGCGAUGACUCCAGCUCUUUGACACGGCCGGUUUACAGCGAUGAGUGGAGGAGCUGCAAGGGACUUGGACUGAGGGAGCGGCUCCCGGAAAGCCGUGGACAUUCACGUAGAAGUUUAGAGGGGGCCCAGGCUGAAGAGUCCAGGCUCAUCGAGGAUGGGUGACCGCGGGCGCCGUGGGAGUCCACGGCCUCCUCCAGGGAGAGGCUGUAAAUGAGACAGAAAGCUGGACCCUGCAGAGACCCACCUCGGAAGGGAGGCAGGAGAGCAGCCAAUGAAACGCGAGAAGGAGAGGAGAGUGAGAGAGAUGGAGACACAGAGAGAGAGACAGACAGAGACCAAAGGGCAGAAAGGUCGAGCCAAAUGAACCCUGCCAGGCCACCGGACUGUGCGGCUCAGAGGUCACUGGGCAUCCCUGAGUCUUGUUCUUUUGCUGACUCUGCCAUGAAUGUCCUUGCCCUUAGUAAAGACACAGCCAAGUAAUUAGGGAUAAGGAGACAUGACAUCUGCAGUUUACCUGCAAAUGGUUUAGAGAAUAAUACGUAUAUACAUAGAGAGAGAGAGAAUGCUAAAGCAAAUGUGGCAGACGUUCACAAGCGGAGAAUCUG